rnacentral:rRNA from 1 species
UACGGAAGGGGCAAGCGUUGUUCGGAAUCAUUGGGCGUAAAGAGCUCGUAGGUGGUUUGUCGCGUUGUCCGUGAAAACUCACAGCUUAACUGUGGGCGUGCGGGCGAUACGGGCAGACUGGAGUACUGCAGGGGAGACUGGAAUUCCUGGUGUAGCGGUGGAAUGCGCAGAUAUCAGGAGGAACACCGGUGGCGAAGGCGGGUCUCUGGGCAGUAACUGACGCUGAGGAGCGAAAGCGUGGGGAGCGAACAGG